rnacentral:rRNA from 1 species
CCUACGGGUGGCAGCAGUCGAGAAUCAUUCACAAUGGGGGAAACCCUGAUGGUGCGACGCCGCGUGGGGGAAUGAAGGUCUUCGGAUUGUAAACCCCUGUCAUGUGGGAGCAAAUUAAAAAGAUCGUACCACACGAGGAAGAGACGGCUAACUCUGUGCCAGCAGCCGCGGUAAUACAGAGGUCUCAAGCGUUGUUCGGAAUCACUGGGCGUAAAGCGUGCGUAGGCUGUUUCGUAAGUCGUGUGUGAAAGGCGCGGGCUCAACCCGCGGACGGCACAUGAUACUGCGAGACUAGAGUAAUGGAGGGGGAACCGGAAUUCUCGGUGUAGCAGUGAAAUGCGGAGAUAUCGAGAGGAACACUCGUGGCGAAGGCGGGUUCCUGGACAUUAACUGACGCUGAGGCACGAAGGCCAGGGGAGCGAAAGGGAUUAGAUACCCCUGUAGUC